CCUACGGGGGGCAGCAGUGGGGAAUAUUGGACAAUGGGGGCAACCCUGAUCCAGCCAUGCCGCGUGAGUGAUGAAGGCCCUAGGGUUGUAAAGCUCUUUUGUGCGGGAAGAUAAUGACGGUACCGCAAGAAUAAGCCCCGGCUAACUUCGUGCCAGCAGCCGCGGUAAU
rnacentral:rRNA from 1 species